rnacentral:rRNA from 1 species
GCCUCCCUCCGCCGCCACUCAGACUCCGUACGGGACGGCGAGCAGUGGGAAGUCGUUGCGCAAUGCGCGAAGCGUGACGCAGCAACGCCGCGUGGGGAAGGAAGGCGUUUCGGGUUGUUAACCCUUUCACGUUGGACGAAGCUUCGCCGGUGAAUAGCCGGCCGGAGUGACGGUACCUUCACAAGAAGCACCGGCUAACUACGUGCCAGCAGCCGCGGUAAUUC